GUGGUUGAAUGGUCUUAAGCUUUCUUCCUUGACGGCUUUGUUUAAAAGUACUUUUUUGCGUUUAUUUGAUCUUGCGAUCAAACCAUUCAAGUCAUUGUCAAGUACGGAAGUAAGAUGAGACUUUACAGCAACAUACAAUGAAAGGAAUACAUGCAGCUAUGAAUUUAAGUCAUGCAGGAUGCGAUGGAAAACAAGCUGCAUAGUUCAGAGUGGAGAGU